CCGUGACCAAACCAUGGACAAAAGACUGCCAACUGCCGUGGUUGUAGGAAGUGAAGAGCACCCCUGAGCCGUGACCAUACCAUCUUCUUCUCUGAGCCGCCCACACCAAAGCGAGAGAGACAGAGCUGCCCUUCAUCUCAGCUAAGAUGAGCAGCGUCAGGGUUGGAAAAAUGGAGAACGGCGGUGCAGCGCAGCGCGAGGAUUUCGUCGACCACCCAAAGUUCUCGGCGGUAGAUGUGGCAACAGGUGAAGUACCCAUGGAUCCCAUCUCCGCUAGAACCAAUAGCCAGAUACCUUCAGAUCACCCAUCAAUCGACGUGGAUCUUGUUGAAGACAGAACGACAGCAAACUAGUUACGCCGACCAUGCCGGGAAACGAUGGAUGGAUAAGACGGCAGAGAGCCAUGUGUUGCGCGGAGGUGGAUUUAUUCACCACAAAUACAUAAGGAACAUUUUUGUUGGCAGUCAUAUCACACACGACGUCAAAAGAUGUCCAAUGAUAGUAUUACCAGUGGCACACAAUCAUUCCUGGUCCACAUGCAUUUUGGACUUCCCAAGGAGGACAACAAUCCUCGACCCGAUGAUAAACAACGGAGACAGACUAGUACUCUAGUGAGCAUAAAAGUUAGCCGCGCACUAAUGGAUUGUAUUGCAGAGUUCUUCGAUGGACGGGCACCAAAGACAAAAGGAUGGUAGAAUUGGUUCCCCAAACUGACAACUGGACCUUGGGUCUGCAGCAGGGCUUCUAGCCGUGUAGUAGCACUUCACUUCGCAAGGUAGUGGAUGGGUACGAAAUUACAGAGGACUCUAUCGCCUCUAGGGGAUGAAAUCGACCAAUAUCGGAUGAUGCUUCUCUAUGAAGUUCUUGGGUUAGACAGUAACAUGGGACAGCUACCUGCUAAAUUCAAGUUAUGCCAGAAUGAACCUUGAAGAGAGGAAGCAACUGUUUGAUUUAAUAUAGCAUAACAUGAAAGCGAUGAUGAUAUCUGAACUACCAGAAAUAAUUCGUGCAAUCAAGGAGAUCCUAGAUGGCACACACUGUAUCUUUAUUCACCAUCAACGUUUAUGUCUUUUAUAUUUCUAGACUAAGGAAUUGUAAUGUGCUUGUCACAUCACUAGGAGCUGAUUUUAUUUAAGACUUCCAGACCGUAUGAAGAACCAUUUAAAUUUUUUG